ACUCUUACCCUUACUUUCUAAUUCUCACUGCUCUAACUCUGACUCUCCAUCUCAGGUCUCUCAGUUCUCUCACUCUCCUCUCAUCUGACCCUGCUUUCAAGCCGAGCAACACCGGCUCUCAUCUUUGUCAGCCUCUCUACCACUCUAUUGGCUUAUCGAUUGAUCACGAGCAGCCGUCGAUCUGAUUCUUCUUCGGCUUAGAGUGAUGAGUUAACCCAAGUGCUCAAUUGGUGGCCAGUAGGAUCUAAGCAUCGACUGUGGAGUUGGCAGUCGCCAUAAGUUUGAUUGCAUAAUUGCCUCAUCCCCGAUCUGCCAGGCCAGUCCAUAGUACCAGUCGCCACUAGCCGCCCCCCACGAUUACAUCACCCCUUUCUGGCAAUGUAGAGGUAUCUGUGGAUGAAAGGGAGAAAGAAAAACACCCACCCUAUUGGGCGCUGAAGACAAACCGGAUCAUGCGGACCACCCUAGUAAUCGGCCUGAAGAUACUCCAAAUGUGUACUUGGCGGGAUUGAGCUUCAUCUUAUACCUUCUAAAGAUGUCAAAAGUUUCCGCCAAGUUACCGAUGUGAUCGGAUCGCUGCUUGCCUUUCACCAUGAUGUUAUCGACAUAGACCUCCAUGGUGACUCUAAUUUUAAACAUCAUGUUUACUAACCUUUGGUAAGUGGCCCCCGCGUUCUUGAGGCCAAAUGGCAUGACCUUGUAGCAAUAGGUGUCUUGCUCGAUCACGAAUAUGGUUUUUUCCUUGUCGGGCUUGUACAUGGCUAUUUGGUUGUAGCCAGAGUAGGUGUCCAAGAAACUAACCAGCUGGUUCCCAUAAGUCGAAUCUACUAAUUGAUCGAUUUGGGAAAGUGGAUAAGGAUCAUUUGGGCAUGCUUUGUUGAGGUCAGUGUAGUUUACGUAAACCCUUCAUUUACCCUUUGUUUCUUCUUUACUAAUAUGAUGUGGGCAAGCCAUGCUGAAUGUGCUACGUCUUCUAUGAAUCCAGCCUCAAGUAAGUUGUCAAUUUUCGCUUCAAUGAUCACUGCUCACUUGGGUGUGAAAUGUCUUUUCUUUUAGAUUAACGAUUUGGCAGCGGGGUAGACGUGCAGCUUGUGGCAAGCUAUCUUGGGGUCGAUGUCGGGCAUGUCAAAAUGUGACCAUGCGAAGAUGUUAUGUUUUUCCAUAAGGAAAGCUGUGAGUUCUCCUUUUCUUUCGGCUUCAGAUGUGAGCCAAUUCUAGCCGUCUUUUCCAGCUGCUGGGGAUUAAGAAUGAUGUCCUCAGCGUCUUUUUCGGGUUUCCAUCCUAUCUCGUCUGCUAGCGCGUUGGAUCUAAUGCCAUCUUCUUGAUCCGCUUGCUGUAAUUGCUAUUUGGUAGCUUCAUCGUUCAUUCGGACCUCGGUAGCCUUUACGGGGGUAAAGGUUUUCUUCUUUGAUUCCUUCAAUACUUGCACAGUGCAUUGUCGAGAUGUGGCCUAGUCAGACUUGAUUUAUCCAACUCAUUCUCUCGGGAUGCAGAAUUGAUUUUUUUUUAUACUUGACAGAAAUGAUGGUGUCCAGCUUGAUUAGCCAAGGUCUUCCAAGAAUCCCAUUGUAGGGAGAUGGGUCGUUUACGAUCAUGAACGUCUACUUUGAGACAACUGGUGGUGUUUUCAUGUCAAGUGUGAUGUGGCCGAUGGCAGUCGAGGUGUGCCCGUUGAAUCCGGUAAGUACCUCCGCUCGGUGUAUGAUUGUGCUUUCUAAGCUCAUCUUCUAAAUUACUGAGAGUUGAAAUAGGUUGACCGCACUUCCAUUGCCAUCAUUUUGUCAACUAUAGCAUGGGCCAGUUAGACAGAUACUACUAGUGUGUCAUCGACGUCUGUGUUCCUUCUAGGCUGCGCAGCUGUCUUGUCCAAGUAUAUGUUGACUUUGCCUUCUUUCACUAGCUUCUCUAGGUAGUUCUUCCAAGUGUAACAGUCGUCCAUUGUGUGACCGGGACCUCGGUGGAACAUGCAGUACUUGGUGUGAUCCAACUUAAAAGUAUGUCCCUUUGAUUAUUUCGGCAGCUUGAACUAUGGCUCGUUCUUAAUGUAGCGAAGGAUUUGGUGGAUCAGGAUUGAGAACUUGCAGUAGUUCUUAGUCGUCGGGCCUUCUUUGGUCAUGGGUCGGCCCCUACGCUCAGUCUCACAUCUCGCCCCAGGUCCCACCAUAUCUAGCUCGACUCCGCCGUAGCACAAUAUUGUUCGUUUUGGGCCUCGACCUUGCCUCAUAAUUUUGUUUCUAGGAACUCACACGAGAACUUCCCAAUAGGUCACCCAUCUUAGGAAUGCUCUUGCGCGAACUCGCUUAACUUCGGAGUUCUGAUGGAACCUGAAGCUAGUGAGUUCCUAAAAGGCCUCGUGCUAGGUAGAUAUAGGAAUAUACAUAUAAGGCUUACAAGAUCCACUACUCUGGGCGAUGUGGGAUGUUACAAUCCACCCCCUUAAGGGCCUGACAUCCUCAUUGACACUCACACAGAACGACAGAGUGGCUAUGAUACCAAAUUAUCAUAUCUCAGCCCGGGCCCUUACCACAUCCCAGGCUCGACUCCAUCGUAGCACGACAUUGUCCGCUUUGGGCCCUGACCACGCCUUCACGAUUUUGUUUCUAGGAACUCACACGAGAACUUCCCAAUGGGUCACCCAUCUUGGGAUUGCUCGGGCGCAUCGUCUGCUCGCCGAGCCUCGUCCCAAAGUGCAUGUUUCUCUGCCAAAGCGAAAGAGUAUGUUAGGGUUAUAUCUUCUUUCAUGAUCAAUUCUCCAAAUAAUGGAUGGUCUGCUAGGAGUCCUUUUUGGAAGGUUGUGCUUACUAUUGAGUCGUUGCAUCCGACUAUCUUCACCUUCUUUGCUUUGAACCUCUUCAAGUAGUCUUGGAGGGACUCUUUUGGGUUGUUCUUCACGUUGAACAAGUGGUUGGACUUUUUUUUUAUCGAGCAGUGGGAUGAGUAUUCUUAGGUGAAAACCAAGGAAAUAUCAUCAACACUCCGGAUGGAUCGUGGUGGUAAGGUGUGGAACCAAUCUUGCGCCUUGCCUUGUAAAGUGGUGGCGAAUAUCUUGUACAUAAGAGCAUCGUUGUUUCGAUAAAGGACCAUUGUGCUUCGGUAGUGCUUCAAGUACCUUUCCGGAUCUCCAUCUCUUUUAAAAUAUGUGAAAUGUUGUAUGCUAAACUUACGUGGAGGUUCUACCUGCUCGAUCUCAUCCGUGAAGGAUGACUUGCUCAUAUUGGUCAUGUCUCGUCUUAAAGCUUCAUCGGUGACUUCAUUGCGUUGGAAAUUACGCAAUCGCUCGUUUAAGAACCUUUCUACCUCUUCCUAAAUUUGCCUUUGUUGGGGGUAUCAGAGCUUUCAGUUGCCUCUUGUCUUGACCUGCUAGUUUAGACUGCUCUUCUACAUGUUUAGCUCGUCUAUGUUGCGGCAGCGGUGCAUGUGGUUCAUUCCUAGCAGGUGAAGGAAUUCUUCGCAGGCUGCUGGUUGAACUUUAGCUGAACUGAGUGACUGCUUCUCUUUGUCCUUUGUGCCGUAUACUUCGAUGUAAGGUGGAAGAUGCUCCUUGCGAACCUAGCUAUGAAUGAACACUUCGCUUGGAAGGUUGCUCAUGUUAACUAUCAGAGUGUGAACCCAACAGUGAAUGUAUGCUCGUCCAUGGGCCUAGUUGAGAGUGCAUGCUCCUCUGCACGCUAAGACGAAAGUAUAUGCUAUCUCAAGGGCCCAAUCGGGAGUGUACACUGCCCGAACGCUCGGUUAGUGGCUGAUCGAGUGGCUGCUUGCUGGGACGCUGCUGGAGAAGUUCUUCGUCUGCCAUUGUCCUACUUCAAGACACUUGUCUUGGGCACAUUGCAUCUUAGUGUGUUGCAAGAGUUGAUUCACCAUGGUCGUCUGCUGUGUGAGGACGCUCAUCAACUUUAUAACUUAUCGAGACAAGUAUUGUUCUCCAUUUAGGUUGGAAGAGCUCGAAAUGUAUGUGUCUCCUUUAGUGGUGGAAGUGUGGUAAACUCCGAGUGUGAGAUUUGAGUUGGGAAAUGUUAAAUCCGCGGAGAAAUAUAGUGAAAAUGCCCUCAGUUCAAUUGUCGGUCAGGAAAUUUGAAGCUGGGAUGGUUGGACCAGUCUUAGAACAAUUUGGGCUGCUUAGAAGGCCACGGGAAUGGGUUAGGCCACAAGAGUGGGCUGCUCGGCAUGUAGCGUACGUGGGUGCGAGGCUAGGGCUUGACUCGGCCACUUGUUGGGCUCGCGUUGGGCUUGAGUGGCUCGGGCCGGCUCGUCUUGGGCUUGGGCCUUUGUAGGCUUGAAUGGCACGACUUGGGCCAUGGUUAUGGCGCUGUGGGCCUUGCUUGUCGUGGUGGUUGCCACGGUGGUGCCACUCCACUCAUCGUCGUGUUGAGUCUCGUGGAUCACCGUGGUCCUAAUUCUUGAACGUUGGAAUUUUCGUUCGUUGAGAUUUUUGAAUUUCUUGUCAUUGUAUUCUUCUUUUACGAUUAUUCAAAGAAUUUUUACAGAAAAAAUUCUAGGAACAAGAACAUACGAAAAAUCUACAAAUGAACAAGAAAAACAAAAAAUCUUGAAUGCGAGAGUGUUCUACAAGCAUGUGACUCAACUCUUAAUGAAAGCACCAAUUUGUGGAUACAAAUUUUUGCCUUCUUCUUCUUGAACAAAAUUGCACCUACAAAACAAUUAAUACAUUAGGUCAAGGCCAAGAGCCUCACGCGCUCACGAUGAAUGAUGGUGGCUUUUUCUGAAGAACCUUUGAUGCCAAAAUUAGAAUUUGAGGGAAAAGUGUUUAGAGAAAUUUGGAGAAUUUAGCAAGAGAGUUGGAAUUAGGUUUUUGGUGAAAUGAGGUGGUAUUUAUAGGGGUGUGGCCAGCUUCUUUGGGAGAGAUGGGAACUGGCCACAUUUGGUGGCUUUUGGGUGUAAUUGCAAGAUAUUAUGUCAAAAUAAUAUCUUGCGAUCAAUUAGGAAAUUAAUUAAUCAAUUAGAAAAUUAAUUAAUUAGGAAAUUAAUCAAUUAAUUUAUGUACUUAAUCAUAUUUUGAAUAAAUAUUUUGGAGGUUACCUUGCGGAAAGGGUCUGCAUGAGGAUGGAUGAAAUAAGUUUUGAAUAAAUACCUAUUUUGAUCACCUUUAACCUUGAUUGAGUUGUGAUUGUUGAUGAGUCAAUAUUAUAUUAUAUAUUUUACCCUAUUCUUAGUAUAAUUUGGUAAUUGUUUUGGUAGAAUUUUGAUACUUUGCUUUAUAUUUUCAAUAUAGGAUAUUCAACUUCUUCUGGAGCAAAACAUGAUCAAAUGGAUGAAUUUUGGAGCAAUUCAAAUUGAAAGACGUUCGUAUGCCUCUUGGCUUG